AAAGCAGGCUAGAAGCCAGAUCCCAGAAGAUCUCUGGGUGGAGAGAGCUUUUCCUUUUCUCCUUAGCAGAGGUUUGAGAAGAACUGAAACUGCAAGUGAUGUGGUGUAUGAAUCACUAAGGCCCUGAUCUGAUCAGACAAUCUGAAUCAUGUGGGCAAACAUCACUGGGGCUCUGUGAAAACACAAGUUUUACUUGCACAGAUCUACUUGCAAAAUUGGAGUCUUUGGUUUCUCUUUUUCUGAAGACAUAGCACCUUUUCAUCAACCACAAAGGAAACUAGAGCAAGAAAUCCAUACCUAUAUCACAGAAGGUUAUGAGGAUCAACCAGUUAACAUUUGUAAAGCAUUUUGAAGAUGAAAACUGAUGUUCAAGACCUAAAUACUGUCAUUUUGACCUUACUCUAAAACAACUGGUAUACCCCACUGCUGGAAAGAUGGUGGAUUGGGUGAAAUAAAGUGGUCUGAUCCAGUAUGUUCCAGCUUUUCUACAUGUGCAUUUUGGCUUGACUCACACAUUUUAGCAUAAAUGAAAACAGAACUCUGGAUGUUGGAUAAACCACAUUGAACAUUAGCACAAUGAUCUCAUCAGGUGUGUCUGAUCUAUUGUCAAAGUAUUAUGGGAGCCCCAUUAAACAUAAAAGAAGCUAUCAUAUAUAUUUUUUGCUAUAUGUGGUGAGCCUCCCAAAAAUGGAAAUUGGACAUUAG